rnacentral:rRNA from 1 species
AGAGUUUGAUCCUGGCUCAGAUUGAACGCUGGCGGCAUGCCUUACACAUGCAAGUCGAACGGCAGCACGGGUGCUUGCACCUGGUGGCGAGUGGCGUACGGGUGAGUAAUGUAUCGGAACGUACCAUUCAGUGGGGGAUAACUAUCCGAAAGGAUAGCUAAUACCGCAUAUUCUGUGAGCAGGAAAGCAGGGGAUCGCAAGACCUUGCGCUGAUUGAGCGGCCGAUAUCAGAUUAGCUAGUUGGUGGGGUAAAAGCCUACCAAGGCGACGAUCUGUAGCGGGUCUGAGAGGAUGAUCCGCCACACUGGAACUGAGACACGGUCCAGACCCCUACGGGAGGCAGCAGUGGGGAAUUUUGGACAAUGGGCGAAAGCCUGAUCCAGCCAUGCCGCGUGAGUGAAGAAGGCCUUCGGGUUGUAAAGCUCUUUCGGCCGGGAAGAAAUCGCAUGGGCUAAUACCCUGUGUGGAUGACGGUACCGGAAUAAGAAGCACCGGCUAACUACGUGCCAGCAGCCGCGGUAAUACGUAGGGUGCGAGCGCUAAUCGGAAUUACUGGGCGUAAAGCGUGCGCAGGCGGUUUUUUAAGACAGGCGUGAAAUCCCCGGGCUUAACCUGGGAACUGCGCUUGUGACUGGAAGGCUAGAGUACGGCAGAGGGGGGUGGAAUUCCACGUGUAGCAGUGAAAUGCGUAGAGAUGUGGAGGAACACCGAUGGCGAAGGCAGCCCCCUGGGCCGAUACUGACGCUCAUGCACGAAAGCGUGGGGAGCAAACAGGAUUAGAUACCCUGGUAGUCCACGCCCUAAACGAUGUCAACUAGGUGUUGGGUGGGUAAAACCAUUUAGUACCGGAGCUAACGCGUGAAGUUGACCGCCUGGGGAGUACGGCCGCAAGGUUAAAACUCAAAGGAAUUGACGG